GAGAUGCGCUUCUAUCCCUGACGAGGCCCUCGCGCCAAAUUGAGGAUAGGGUCGCAUCUUGGGUGUGACAGCGUACAAUCACAAGGUUCAUAAGAUAUGUUCCAAAUUACGCUUUUGCGGGAAGAGUUGGUAUCAGAGCCCGUACCAACCUAGGAGCCCCUUGAUUGAUCGAACUUGGCCGAGUCGAGUCUAGUGAAAAACUAUUUGAGUCUUAGUUAUAUAUCGGAGAGUAGGAUUCUUUUUUCUCCUCUUCUAUGCUCUGGUGAGGAAUCUUGACGUAAUAAUUUAUUCUACUCCUCUUCUCACUCAAAAUUUUUUUAGGAUCACGCGGAUAUUCUUGGGAUCUAUAUGAUGCCGAUGUGACGGAGUUCUGUCUUGGUGCCUCCUGUCUGACUUGAUUUUCUUCCGGGGAGUUGAGCUCUAGGGGAUUCUUGAGCACAUCAUUAUCAUUCAGAUUUCUUAGUAUCUUAGAACGAAGGAUGUUCAUAAUUGCUUCAUUACUAGUAGUGGCGAGAUAACCCCGAUGUCCCCAGUACUGGUGCAGAUUGUUCGGGGGUACUGCCAUACUUUGUAUCGUUGUGAUCACGAGGGUCUGUUGUAGAUGAAGGUCUGAGAUUCUGGUCGUGUGUUGACGGAUGUGAUGCAAGUGACGAGUUAGUAUAGGAGUUGUGUGACUAUUACUCCUUGUAUCCGUGUACCAGAUUGCAUGACCAGAUAUUUCGGGGAUUCAUAGGUGGGAAUUCAAGUAGUUGCUUAUAGGACAAUCUUCCAACAAAUGCAUGAUGUUAGGUUGGGGUUCGACAUCUAGUGGAUUCGUUUGUUCACGGUCGACUUACAGCAGUACACGUUGUGUCUUAAAGAGUCCUUGUAGCUUGCUACGACUCGGGGACGCUUCGUAUGUCGGGUGCACUGCCUUGCACUUGAUGGCUACUGUAAAUCGUGUCGUGCGAUCCUGUCCACGAAAAUAUCGGACGAUAUCUUUCUCAUGAGUUUGUUCUGGCUUGUUUCGUAAGCCUCACCCUUUGUUUUGUUUUAUUAUGGUAAUUCAGUUGCUUUGAUGUCAAGUGGUGAUUUCAGAUCUGUUCUAAGCAGUGUUCUCAUAUUCAUAUGAGAGUGCUAAUCCUUCUGCUCAAUCAAUUGUCUUAUCAUUCUUGUCAACCGGAGUCGUCAUGUUAACUCUUCAGUGAAUCCAAUCCUCUCCAGUUUUGCAAGAUCAUUCUCUCUUUAUUCCGGAGUUCAUCUCAUCUGUCCCAUGUUGUCUUUGUUUUUCCCACCCUCCCGCCCUUUUUUCUCAGUGAUUCAAUUUUCAUCCAAGAGUUUCCUUUUCAUUGUGCUUCCGCUGUCUGUUCUUUCUCUCUUACCCGAUGAAUUUAAUUUAGAUAUCCGUGUUCAUCAUAUCCUUUUUAUCCUUGUAAUUCUUUCCUAUAUUGGAAAUUGUUAUGAGUCUAUCUUGCUAUUCAUUCCUCUUUUUCCUAUCCGGAGUGCUGAAGAUAUCUCUGAGUUUCGAGUUCUCAACCUCAUCUAGUUCUCUUCAUACCGGUGCAAUAUCUCUCCUUAUAAUCUGUUGUUUCAACGGUGGUUUCUUCGAGUGGGCCCAUAACCCACAGGUUUUUCCCAGGAUCUUACCUGGCUCUUUAAUCUUUUCCAGAGAUCCUUAAUUCUUUUCAACUAUGAUGUAAGUAUGAAUUUCAUCAGUCAUAUCCCUUCUCCAAGGCCUAUUUGAAUUUAUUCUCAUAUUUGGCUCAACCUUUCAUUCUUCAUUAUUCCGGAGUGUCUCAAUUAUUCUUGGUGGUGUUCUUCUCAUCAUUCUCAGCUUGCAAAUUCGUAGGGGUGUUUCUCUCAAAUCUUGGUUCAUUCUCUUGGAGAUUCAUCAUUUCAGCUUUGUGCCGUCGUCUUAACUGUUGUCAAUCAUGAGUAUUCCUUUCUUUUUAUCCGGUGCAUUUCUGAAUUGUUUCAUUCUCGAUUCUCCGAAGGCCAUCAUUUCAGAAGAAUCUUCGUUCUCAGCUUUCAGCUUUCAUCCUCAAUUCUUCUCCAUUGUUGUCUCUUCGUUCGUCUUUAGUUUAUCCGGUGCCUUGUUCAGUUUUCUCUCAGUUGGCUUAUGAUCUCUCCAUUCUCAUGUGUCUCCAUGCUUCCUGGGUAUUCCCAUUCAAUGGUGAUUUCUUACCGGUGCUUCUUUCAAUUAUGCUUCGUGUGGUGCAUAUCUAUCUCUCUCUUCAAGAUUCUUUCAAGAAGAAUAAGUGAUAUGCUAAGUCCGGUGCUUGUCAUCAACUAAACUUGAUGAAGGACAAGCAUAACAUAAUUCUUAUUCUUGUCAAUAGUAAUCUGAAUUAUUCUUCCGGAGUGGCUCAUGAUAUCAAUUCCUUUUCUCUAGUGUGCUUAUCUUUCUUUUCCGGAGUUCCAAGUUCUUUUAAGUAUCUCUUUGUGAGGCUUCAUCUAAAUCCUGGCAAGGCCAUAAUCUUAUUCUUUUCUACCUUCUUGUCUGUGCAUCAUUCAUCUGUAUACAGAGGUCCUUCAUGGUGUUUCAUCAAAGUUUCAAUUCAUUCUCAAGUGUUCUUCAAGAUUCUUGUUAGAGAACCUCAAGUUUUUAUUCUCUUGCAUUUCCAAGUGCAUUUGUUCUUCCUUUUCCUUUGAGGUGGUAUUAUAGCAUUCUUGUUAGUGUAGGAGCCUCGAAAAGUUUUCCUCUCAAGUAUGAGAUAAUUAAAUCCAUCAAUUCUACGAUCAUGAGAUAUUUUCAACCCAUGAUUUCUUCAUUGAGCUAUUUUGGUUUGGAUUUCACCUAAAGCUUUUCCUAGGGAUUGUGCUAUCUUGGUGCUUUUCAUUAAUCUGAGUUCUCAACGUAUCCUCUUGGUGUAAGAAGUUUUGAUUCUUGUUGCUCCCAAUCUAUCCUUGUUUAUUUUAGUGGUUGUUUGUCACCUCAUAUUUGUUGAGAUGAUUUUCAUAAGCUCACUACUAUCUUGUUCUUUUCGUUGUUGGUUUUCCAACUACUAUGUCAAUUCUCUGUCUGGAGGCUCUUCUACUCUAUUGUGAUGAUAGUUGUCAUUCUUUUCUUCGUUCUCUUCUUCCGUAUGAGCUAGUUUCUAUUCUCUUGUUCCGGAGGCUUUGUGAUGUUGCUCUUUUGGGUCUAUUAUAUUGUUCUGUCAAGAUCAUGGUGUUCCCUCGUUCUAUUUGGUUGUUGGUUGUGACUAUUGUCUAAUUCUCUCUUCUUAUCGAAUUUUUUGUCCCAUUUUCCUACCGAAGUGCUGCCGAAAUUUUCCGUGAAUUCUUGCUUCUUUCUCUUUUCAUUCCUCAUCGCCUUGCAACUUUCAAGGAUCAUUGGUUUCACUCGUUUGUCAAAGAAGCGACUAAGUUUUUACCUCUUGUUCUUUCUCAUCCUCUCCCCCCUUUCAUUCUUGGAUCUCGGGGCGAGAUCCUGUUGUAGUGUAGGAGAGUUGUGACAGCCCGAUGCCGACGUUCCAGAAGAUUCCCCCUUCUUUGCGUUUUCGUCGUGUGUCUGUUUUAUUUUGUCGCAUCAUCAUCGCAUCAUGCACAUCAUCAGCAUUGCAUCGACAUCUCCGUUGCCGCCAGUUUUCAAACUUGCAUUCAUUAGUAGUUGCGGGUUCUCGUCGACGUCCGUUCUGAGUCCGACCGCACUCGCACGCGCCCGCGGCAUCGUCGAAAACCUGUUUUAAAAGUGCAUUUAAAACUUUCUCUCAUCGAGGUGAAACUUGGCACGCGGUCGCGAGUAGAUAUAGCAAGGCCGCCUGUCGAAUUUCGUCGCGAUCGGAGACCGUGUGGUACCCGAACGGUCGACCGUAGCGGCACCGUGUUCGGUCUAGUGUCGGACGUCUGUCGGUGUUUUAAAAAAAAUCGUUGCCGCGCCGCCCGUUCUCCCUCUCGUCUCCGGAUAUCCCCUCUACACGGCCGCGUACCCAUACCCGCGUUCGGAAUCGUCCGAAUCCAACCCCGCGGUUGGAUCCGGAGCGCGAUUCCGGUUAACCGAGCCCCCCGUUUGUCUAUAUAUAGACCCUCCUAUUAGUUUGGGACAGCCUACCACCAUCUACCUCGGGAUCCGCACCAAACCCUAAUCCCCCCACUCUCUCUCCCCUGUCUCCCACCUCCAACCGCCGGGCCCGCUCGAGCCCGCGCGCGGCCCGCCCGAGCCCAUCUCGGCCCGAGUCUGACGCGCCUCCUCUGCUCCCAGCGUGCUCGCCCCGUGCGCCGCCGUCCUCUGUCGCCUGCAGCCGGCCGGAGGUUCCCCGAGCCGCCGGAGCCCCGCGAGGACCUCGUCCGCCGCCGCCAUCGCCCUACGUCGCCUCCUGCCGCCGCCUGUGACCUGCAGCCGCCGGCCUGUGUCAGAUCCGCGCCGACCGCCGUCGGCUGCCCGGGUUCCGCCACGCCUCAAGGCCAUACCGGCCGGAUCCGGCCAGAUCCGGUUCGGGACACCUCUUCCCUCGCCCCGGCGUCCUCUUGCACGCUGCCCCGCUUGAAGCCGCCGCCGGCCAGUCGCCAAGACCUCGUGCUCGUGCUCGAGCACGGGAGGAAGGAGGCGCUCGCUCCCAGCUCCUGUCGCCCGUCCUGGGCCGGCCUCCCGUCGCGCCAGUCGGUGCCCCAAGGCCCAGCAGCAGCAGCCCCCAGCGGCCUGCCUCCCCGGCGCUCGACCGGGCCGGCUUCCCCAGCGCCCCGCCGGUCCAUCGUCUCAUCCGACCCAGGCCAGGACGCCUGUCCACCGCCGGCCCGUGUCCCAUCAUCUCAUCCGACCCAGGCCAGGACGCCUGUCCACCGCCGGCCCGUGUGGCCCUCUGGUAAGCCUCCCUAUUCCCCGCCCCAAGCACAUUUUAGUAAGUUGCGCCCGUGGAUGUUUAGGCCCAUAGGAUAGUUUCGGCCCAGUAGUUAAUUUAGGAUUUAAUUCGAAUUUAUCCUUUUUUAGUAAGUAGGCUUUAUUUCAAACGUCCGUAGUUUUUAAACCGUAGAUCGGAUCGAGACGUAUUUUAUAUGGUUUUGGGGUAGUUUUGCGAGUAGAACACGUUUUCGCAACUUGCAUUUUUAUUUGAUGUCGUUUAGCAUGCUGUUUGCCUAGAUAAGCGUGCUGUCCUAAUAGGUUUCGACCCGUAUUUAUUUUUCGUGCAAGACCGGGUUGCCCGUGUGCCUUAGAUAAAAUGCCUAUAAUUUAGGGACUAUUUUUUCCGUGUACUUUAGAGCGGUCAAUCGUAUUUUUCCGUGUAGGGUUUUGCCGGUAGUUUAUUUUCCCGUAUCUAGGUGUUUAUCUCGCAUUAAUGUGUGGCAUUAUUUUGUGUUGCAAACCCCACAUAUUUUAUAUGUUCACAGGGUAGAAAAAUCCCAUAGAUUUUUCUGUGCAAUUAGUUUUAGCUUUCGAGCAAGUUAGUUCGCGCGAUAUUUUGCCGUGUUGCCCUUUUGUUUAAUUCGUAGGAUUUAUUCCGUGCCUCGUUUAAAUUAGUUGUCAACUAGUGAGUUGAUCUUGAAUGUUUUGUUUAGCCCCUGGUAUUUUUAGUUGCAUUAGAAAUGCAUGUUUAGGUGUGUUUUUCUUGCUCUCAAGUUGCUAGAAAUAGUGCUGUUUUAGAGGAGCAGAAAUAUUUCUAAGUCUGGAAUCUGUUAUAUUUUGUUGUUGUCUUGUCUUGCUUGCAUCUUGUGAUCUGUAGCUUUUUUGGGGUUUGUCCAAUGGAAUUAGUUGUACCCCUUGUGUUUCUCUAGCAUGCUGUAAAGUUUCAUGCCAUUUGGAGUACUGUAGCUAUAGGUUUUGCUGCUGUCAAUAUGCCUUCAGGCUGAAAACUGCACUUUCAUGAGGUGUUAUUUUCACUAAGUCUGAAAUAGUGCGUGAGAUGCCAUUUUGUGUCUUCUUUUCCUAGUGCUCCUUGCUGUCAUGCUAGUUGUUGUUAGUUGUUUGUAGUAGUGCUUCUUGCUCUCUUCCGUGCCAUGCCUUGCUUGAGCAUAUCGGAGUUGGGUAGCCGAAGUUGUGAGGCGUAGAAGUUGCUAUGUGGCUGUUUUGGGCAGUUUGUAGUCAUUUCUUGUUUUGCUUGUAGAUGUUGAACCGAAGCUCGGAUUUGAUCGUGUCCUACAUGAAACUUGCUUAGAAUCUUGUGUAGUUUCAUUUUAUCUUGCUGGUUGCAUGUGUUGAAGUGCUCGUAGCCGCCGUUGCACACAUUUUGCAUUCAUUCCAUCAUAUCUUGCGGUGUCCGUAUCUUUUGAUCCGUAGCUCCGUUGGAGAUGUUUCUUAUGUGUAGAUUGCUUGCCAUGACGCGUAGAAUCACGUGAACCUAUUUGUUUUGCUGUUUAACAACCAAUUAAAUGCAUUAGUUCAGAUCUGGAUAGAAUUGUAAAUUAACACGUGGGGUCAUUUCGGAGGUGCUAUAUGUCAUUUCCGACCUCACUUAAAAUGCCUAGAUAAGUAGUUUAAUUACGCUUCACCUCUUGCCAUGCUUAAUCACAUUUAAUAUUGUCGUGUACCUAAUCGGGAUAGCACUUAAUAAAUAGACGUGGAGUAUCGUCAAUAUGCAACUCUUUGCAUAUUGAACUUCACUUAAUGUGUAGUGUUUGAUUGCGUGAAUUGUCAUGCCGUGCCUUGCAUGUUUUCAGCUUGUCAUGCAUCAUUUGUGUCGUGCAUCGUGUGGUGAAUAUCGUGUGUUGAUUCUUGUUUCCGGUUUCCCCGUCUCGAUAGAGUCCGCAAGCGUGUCGGAUGUGAGGACCCGUUCGACUACGUCGGUUCGUCUGCCUCACGGAGUUGUUCUUCCAAGCGGGAUCUCAUGCAAGAUGAUCAUUUCCCCAGAUACCAUUACUAUCAUUGCCAUGCUAGUUUAUCGCUUCUAUCGUUUAUGUCUCGUUGCCUACCACCUGUUAAAUAUCAGCCUCUCAACAAUGCCAUGAUUACCUUCAACCUGUUCGACCUAGCAAACCACUCAUUGGCUAUGUUACCGCUUGCUUAAUCCUGUUGAUAGCGUUGCUAGUUGCAGGUGAUGUUGCUUCCAUGUGAAAACAUGGGUUCCUUGUUAUACCACCAUAUUGAAAUGCUAUUUAAUUUAAUGCACCUAUAUACUUGGUAAAAGGUGGAAGGCUCGGCCUUUUCUAGCCUGGUGUUUUGUUCCACCUUUGCCCCCUUAGUUUCCGGCUACCGGUGUUAUGUUCCAUAAUUGAGCGCUCCUAACACGAUCGGGGUUGUUAUGGGGACCCCCUUGAUAAUUCGUUUUAGAUUAAGACUGGUCUGGCAAGGCCCAACUUUGGUACUACAUUUGCCUAAACACCUAAUAAAAUUGCAUAGGGACUUUCCGGACCCCGAGGAUAAUUUAAUCAACCCCCGGGCCAGUGCCCCUCAUGAGUGUUGGUCCAAAUUGGCAGACUACGGGGCCACCGCGGGGCAACCCGAGGUUUGGUUCUCCUAGUGUGACCCAUCCGUCGUGUCCUGAGAACGAGGUACGCGACUCCUAUCGGGAUCGUCGACACGUCGGGUGGCCUUGCUGGAUUAGUUUUACCUUUGUCAAGAUAUUUUGUGCAUCGGGAUUCCGGUGAUGCUUUGGGUAAUCUCAGAGUUGAGGUUUUCCACUAGGGAAUCCGACGAGAUCGCGAGCUUCGUGAUUGAGGAUUUCUAUGCGGCUUGUGGUAAUUUGUGAUGGACUAGUUGGAGCACCCCUGCAGGGUUAAAUCUUUCGGAAAGCCGUGCCCGCGGUUAUGUGGCAACGUGGAAGCUUUGUUUAACACUGGUUCUAGUUUACUUGAAGUUAACUUAAUUAAAAAUUGGCCAACUAUGUGCGUAACCAUGACUGUCUCUUUCGUGAGUUCCUUCUCCGAUCGAGGACACGGUGGGGUUAUGUCUGACGUAGGUAGGUGUUCAGGUUCAUUCAUUUGAUCAUCAGUAGUUCACGUCCGCUAUGCGUAGAUCUUCCCCCUCUUAUUUCUGGUACUCGUAAGUUAGCCACCAUAUACAUGCUUAACCGCUGCUGCAAUCUCACCACCUAACCAUGCCUCACCCAUUAAGCUUUGCUAGUCUUGAUACCUUUGGAAAUGAGAUUGCUGAGUCCCCUGUGGCUCACAGAUUACUACAACACCAGUUGCAGGUACAGGUAAAAGUUACUUGACGGGAGCGCGUUGAUUGUUCAUUUGGAGUUGCNNNNNNNNNNNNNNNNNNNNNNNNNNNNNNNNNNNNNNNNNNNNNNNNNNNNNNNNNNNNNNNNNNNNNNNNNNNNNNNNNNNNNNNNNNNNNNNNNNNNUCAGCAGGUGCUUGAUCUUGAUGAACAUAAUGUGUUAUAGCAUUGGGACUUUCAUGGCCUCAUGGGUACUUGGAUUGGAGCUACUGCAACUACUAAUAGCCUCAGAGCAUCUCUAGUGGAUGGUGUAUAUUUGAACGUGUAUAUCUUUAUAUACACGUCCAUAUACACGUUGUUAAAUUAUACACGUCCUAGUUUUUCAGUGGAACGUGUAAAUUAGGACGUGUAAAUUUGGAUUCAGUAGUGCACACAGGUUCAGAGAACAAGACAGGGGAGCUUCGCCGCAUUGCAGCCGUCUCCCUCGUCGCCGGCAGCCUUCCCCGUGGCAUCCAAGAUGUCCAGGAUUCGAGGGUGCCUCCCUCGUUCCAUUCCCAUCGCUAAGGUGACCGGUGGGCCACCACAGCGACGGCCCCAACCUCGUCUCCGGCGACUACCCGGAGCCGAAGCCCUGCAGUAGGCCGAGCUCGAGCGGGUGGAGCAGGGAGCAUCAGGAGCUCGAGCGGGUGGAGCAGGCCGAGCUCGAGCGCUGGCGAUGCGGGCACGGGAUCCUCUGCCCAGGCCGCCGGCCCCUCCUCUGCCCAGGCUGCCGGUCCUCCCCGCACAGCGCCGCGCACCCCGCCGCCCCGCACCGCGCCGCGCACUCCGCCGCCCCGCAUGUUUAUUUCCACGAGGAGUAGCCUCGUGGAUGGACGUGUAUAACUUCCACGUCCGUAUACACGUUCCAUUCAGAAGCAUUUUUCUGUUUGCAACAUGUAUAUUUACCAUCCACCUCCAUAUACACCAUCCACUGGAGAUGCUCUCAGAAUCUACAAUCUAUCACAAAAAAUGUCAGUAGAAUCACUUGAUUGUAGGUUGAUAAGUCAUUCUCUGAAAAUGACCGUAAAAUUCAGACUGUUGAGCGCGGCCCACACGCGGACUGCAGUCCUGCCGGAUGCCAGCCCCGCCCCCAUGCGCGCUUCUGUUGGCUGCUGCUGCUUGCCGCUGGAACAUGAGCCACUGCUGCAGUCCGUUGGGAACACGCGGCGCUCGGUCCAUGGACCCACCGGCUAGGCGGCUAGGGUCCCUCUUCUGUGCUCUGGACUUUCAAGUACGAGGUUGAGAAGCCUGCUCUCGUUCGCAGCAAUGUUACACAUACAUAAGUUUACAUAGGUUUUACAAAGAUGUAAAUUUUGAUUGAAGAUUAAGGGGAAAGAGGACCCCAUCCCCUUAAAAAUCAGGGAAGAGUGGUUAGUUAGAAAGAAAGAAUCGUAGUCAGCCUGUAACAUUAUGUAACUCUUUGUACAUCUAGCAUUUUUGUCUCAUUCGCGAACAGAGGAUUGCAUCCGGCGCCCAAUAACCCGGGACGACGAUUGACUUUCUUUUCGUGAUUAUUUAUCAAUCAAUUCUAUGCUUAUACGCUACAUACACAUACGUAUAUAAGAAUUCGCUCCAAAUCAAGGCAGUGGGAGCGCCAUACCUCGCCCUACCGGGAGCUCCGCACACGUAUGCAUGAGCUCCGAGAUGCAUGUCGUUAAUCGCACCAUCGAGAAGCCAUGGGCAAUGAUGAAUCUUGAAACGGAAACGACUCCACUUUGACAGCACCGAGAAGAAACAUGGUCGACACGUCCGAGGCAUCUGCAGACACCUUUUGUCCAUUGUUUUCCCGAAACAUACUGUUAGAAUUUAAUUAAUUAUGUAAUUAGUUAAAUUAAUCUCUACUUGUAAUCGCACGGGAAUCCCCCCACGAUGCGGAACCGACGUAUUGUUCCUGGAGCGUCGCCUCCAGGAACCGUCUUUCCCUGGCAUAUAAAGUGUUCAAUCAUCAAGGAAUAAAGUGACAGUUGAUUCAUUUGUAUCUCUUUCGAUUCGAUCACAACACGUUAUCAGCACGCUCCCAGCAAAACCGACUCCGGCGAGAUCGAUUCCGGUGGUUUAAGAAAGAAAAGGUGAGAUGCCUCGCUCAACGCCGACGAACCUUCGCCGCCUGCUGCAGAACGACGUCCGUCGUCACCGCCUCGCUGCUCUCCACCGCAGGUCCGGAGAGCGCCGCCGCUUCGACGGUCGGCGCCAUGGAGCGGGUCGCUACAUCGGCCGCCGCCACGGCGACGGUGGCUACCGAGCGCUCCGUCACGGCCUGGGCACCCGCUUCCACGGCCUGGGCACCCGCUCCCUGAGCGGUGCUAAUCCGGCGGUCGGCGCCGCGUCCCACGCCCCGCUCGCGCUGGAUGCCCUCGGCUGGCUCCUCGCUGGCCCUGCCCCGCCUAUGCUCGGGGCCGACGCGGCACAGGGAGCGCCGCCGCCGGGCUUUUGGUGCUCUGCCCAUGGAUGGGUUGUUUGCCCCCUCCAUGGGUAUGAAGCCGUCGCCGCCAUGGAUUCCGUCGAGCAGGCUGCCGCCACCGUCUUCGAGUUGGGCUCCACCAGCGCCGCGGCUGCCGACUCCAACGCCGUCGCGCCGCGCCUCCCGUCUCCGACCCCGGCGGUUGUCGAGAUGGGGAGCGGCUCCUCCGCGCCCGUGCCUGCGCAGACCGGGGCCUCCGCCUUCGCUUUUGGCUCCGCCACCCGUAACUUCUCUUGCGCGGCGGCCGUCGAUGCCAUCGCGCCCGCGGCGCCGGCUACGCCCCCGCGCCUGCUGUCUCCAACGUCGGCCACCCCCGCGCGCCUGCCAUCCGCAGCGCUGGCCGCGACUCCGCCUCGCCGCAGGCUGUUGCCCUUUGGCUUCGCGGCCUCAAGCCCUCCGUCGAGCGGCCGCGCCCCGCGCGCUGGAUCCUGGAGCCCGGCCGCCCUUGGGCUCGCGAACGGCGCCUCGCCUGGCUCCUUGUCCCCAGGCGGGCCUUCCGACGAAGACGAGGACGAGCGCGGCGGAGGCUCUCUCGCCCGUCCCUGGUGAACGCUGCGAAGCAGCACGCGCGGAGCUCUCCCUGGCACGGGGCUCUGCCUGAUGCGGUGCCGCUCUUGCUUUUCUAGAGCUGGCUCUGCCUUAUCCUCCCGUGAAUUGAAUAAAGUGAGCGCUGCAGACGGCAUGUGCACAUCCUUGGGACACAUGUGGUCUUGUUUCGAUGGCACAUGUGGUCUUGCAGCACUCCAACACACUUUAGUAGUAUUUUCUAGCACUAUUUGCUCUCUGUUUUAGAUUACUUCCUGUACUAUCAACAAUAGAUCUAGCAGUAGACUAAUCCCUCUCUUAGAUCUUGUUUAAUUCCUGUUUUCAGUACGUCUAUUUCCAGUACUGUUUUCUGUAGAGUACUUUGUAUUCUAGAACAUAUGUGAUGUAAUAUAUAUUUCCAUGUUUGCUACAUGUUGAGAUUUAUUAACUCUAUUAUUUCUAAUUGAGAUUUCAAAUUUCUUGCAAAUAAAAAUCAACCCCUCGUCUUAAUUGAGCCUUUGGCUUAAUACGAGCACGAGUUGAUAUGCAAAAUUCCAAAGUGAUUUUCUUUCAAAUUGAUGUUUUGGGACCACAAAGAAGUGUGUUGAUCUACUGCAUAGCAGAUUAUCGCCACUACGAUUAAGCCUACAUUCUAUCAUAUUGAUAUGAUGAUUGCUUAAUAUUGUGCCCUCCCAUACAUUUUAUUAAGUUAUGACAUAAGGUAUUAGAAACAUGAGUAUCUACUGAUUUUAUCAGAUUAUACUCUCUAGUUCUGAGAGACGGACCCCGAAUUUUCGUUUGGGGCGUAUCUACAAUGUGUCAAACUUAACAAUUUGAAAGUCACACUAAUGAUUUCAAGCCCAUUUCUUGAAGUUAUCAUUAAUUUUGCAACGUUAAAUACAACGUAACCAUGAAGGUUUUAAUUUACCUGGUGUAAAUUAAUAAUCUCUGGUUUACCCAUGUAGGUAACCAAUGGCUGGAAGAGAGUUCGAUGCACUUGACCUCAAUGGCCACAACUAUCCUACCUGGGCCAUGGACAUCAAGAUCGCUCUUGCAUCUCGUGGAUUAGUGCGUGCAAUCCAGACUCCGGAAGAUCCUCUUCCGGAUGGAGUCACGCCGCUGAGAGAUGAACAGAAAUAUGCCGCCUUAUACAUCAUAAGGCACCAUAUCCACCCAGAUCUCAAAUCUGAAUAUUUGGAGGAGGAAUCCACACUUACUCUGUUUCAGGCCCUCAAGACGAGGUAUUAACAGCAAAAGGCAGUUGUCCUGCCGGAAGCACGUACUCCAUGAUUGGACGCAUAUCCGACUCCAGGAUUUCAAAUCCAUCGGGGCGUAUGUGACAGCCCGAUGCCGACGUUCCAGAAGAUUCCCCCUUCUUUCCGUUUUCGUCGUGUGUCUGUUUUAUUUUGUCGCAUCAUCAUCGCAUCAUGCGCAUCAUCAGCAUUGCAUCGGCAUCUCCGUUGCCGCCAGUUUUCAAACUUGCAUUCAUUAGUAGUUGCGGGUUCUCGUCGACGUCCGUUCCGAGUCCGACCGCACUCGCACGCGCCCGCGACAUCGUCGAAAACCUGUUUUAAAAGUGUGUUUAAAACUUUCUCUGAUCGAGGUGAAACUUGGCACGCGGUCGCGAUUAGAUAUAGCUAGGCCGCCUGUCGAAUUUCGUCGCGAUCGGAGACCGUCUGGUACCCGAACGGUUGACCGUAGCGGCACCGUGUUCGGUCUACUGUCGGACGUUUGUCGGUGUUUUAAAAAAAAAUCAUUGCCGCGCCGCUCGUUCUCCCUCUCGUCUCCGGAUAUCCCCUCUACACGGCGUACCCAUACUCGCGUUCGGAAUCGUCCGAAUCCGACCCCGCGGUUGGAUCCGGAGCGCGAUUCCGGUUAACCGAGCCCCCCGUUUGUCUAUAUAUAGACCCUCCUAUUAGUUUGGGACAGCCUACCACCAUCUACCUCGGGAUCCGCACCAAACCCUAAUCCCCCCCACUCUCUCUCCCCUGUCUCCCACCUGCAACCGCCGGGCCCGCUCGAGCCCGCGCGCGGCCCGCCCGAGCCCAUCUCGGCCCGAGUCUGACGCGCCUCCUCUGCUCCCAGCGUGCUCGCCCCGUGCGCCGCCGUCCUCUGUUGCCUGCAGCCGGCCGGAGGUUCCCCGAGCCGCCGGAGCCCCGCGAGGACCUCGCCCGCCGCCGCCAUCGCCCUACGUCGCCUCCUGUCGCCGCCGGCGUGUGUCAGAUCCGCGCCGGCCGCCGUCGGCUGCCCGGGUUCCACCACGCCUCAAGGCCAUACCGGCCGGAUCCGGCCAGAUCCGGUUCGGGACACCUCUUCCCUCGCCCCGGCGUCCUCUUGCACGCUGCCCCGCUUGAAGCCGCCGCCGGCCAUCCGCCAAGACCUCGUGCUCGUGCUCGAGCACGGGAGGAAGGAGGCGCUCGCUCCCAGCUCCUGUCGCCCGUCCUGGGCCGGCCUCCCGUCGCGCCAGUCGGUGCCCCAAGGCCCAGCAGCAGCAGCCCCCAGCGGCCUGCCUCCCCGGCGCUCGACCGGGCCGGCUUCCCCAGCGCCCCGCCGGUCCAUCGUCUCAUCCGACCCAGGCCAGGACGCCUGUCCACCGCCGGCCCGUGUGGCCCUCUGGUAAGCCUCCCUAUUCCCCGCCCCCAACACGUUUUAGUAAGUUGCGCCCGUGGAUGUUUAGGCCCAUAGGAUAGUUUCGGCCCAGUAGUUAAUUUAGGAUUUAAUCCGAAUUUAUCCUUUUUUAGUAAGUAGGCUUUAUUUCAAACGUCCGUAGUUUUUAAACCGUAGAUCGGAUCGAGACGUAUUUUAUAUGGUUUUGGGGUAGUUUUGCGAGUAGAACACGUUUUCGCAACUUGCAUUUUUAUUUGAUGUCGUUUAGCGUGCUGUUUGCCUAGAUAAGCGUGCUGUCCUAAUAGGUUUCGACCCCUAUUUAUUUUUCGUGCUGUCGUUUAGCAUGCUGUUUGCCUAGAUAAGCGUGCUGUCCUAAUAGGUUUCGACCCGUAUUUAUUUUUCGUGCAAGACCGGGUUGCCCGUGUGCCUUAGAUAAAAUGCCUAUAAUUUAGGGACUAUUUUUUCCGUGUACUUUAGAGCGGUCAAUCGUAUUUUUCCGUGUAGGGUUUUGCCGGUAGUNNNNNNNNNNNNNNNNNNNNNNNNNNNNNNNNNNNNNNNNNNNNNNNNNNNNNNNNNNNNNNNNNNNNNNNNNNNNNNNNNNNNNNNNNNNNNNNNNNNNAUUCCCGGUACAUUCCCGGUAACUCCGAAAACCUUCCGAUAAUCAAAUGAGGUCAUCCUAUAUAUCAAUCUUCGUUUCCGGACCAUUCCGGAAACCCUCGUGAUGUCCGUGAUCUCAUCCAGGACUCCGAACAACAUUUGGUAACCAACCAUAUAACUCAAAUACGCAUAAAACAAUGUCGAACCUUAAGUGUGCAGACCCUGCAGGUUCGAGAACUAUGUAGACAUGACCCGAGAGACUCCUCGGUCAAUAUCCAAUAGCGGGACCUGGAUGCCCAUAUUGGAUCCUACAUAUUCUUACGAAGAACUUAUCGUUUGAACCUCAGUGUCAAGGAUUCAUAUAAUCCCGUAUGUCAUUCCCUUUGUCCUUCGUUAUGUUACUUGCCCGAGAUUCGAUCGUUAGUAUCCGCAUACCUAUUUCAAUCUCGUUUACCAGCAAGUCUCUUUACUCGUUCCGUAAUACAAGAUCCCGCAACUUACACUAAGUCACAUUGCUUGCAAGGCUUGUGUGUGAUGUUGUAUUACCGAGUGGGCCCCGAGAUACCUCUCCGUCACACGGAGUGACAAAUCCCGGUCUUGAUCCAUACUAACUCAACUAACACCUUCGAAGAUACCUGUAGAGCAUCUUUAUAGUUACCCAGUUACAUUGCGAUGUUUGAUACACACAAAGUAUUCCUCCGGUGUCAGUGAGUUAUAUGAUCUCAUGGUCAUAGGAACAAAUACUUGACAUGCAGAAAACAGUAGCAACAAAAUGAAACGAUCAACAUGCUACGUCUAUUAGUUUGGGUCUAGUCCAUCACGUGAUUCUCCUAAUGACGUGAUCCAGUUAUCAAGCAACAACGCCUUGUUCAUAAUCAGAAGACACUGACUAUCUUUGAUCAACUGGCUAGCCAACUAGAGGCUUUCUAGGGACAGUGUUUUUCUAUGUAUCCACACAUGUAAAUGAGUCUUCAUUCAAUACAAUUAUAGCAUGGAUAAUAAACGAUUAUCUUGAUACAGGAACUAUAAUAAUAACUAUAUUUAUUAUUGCCUCUAGGGCAUAAUUCCAACAGUCUCCCACUUGCACUAGAGUCAAUAAUCUAGCCCUCGCAUCAUCAUGCGAAUUACAUUGUAAUAAAUCUAACACCCAUACAGUUCUGGUGUUGAUCAUGCUUUGGCCGUGGUAGAGGUUUAGUCAGCGGAUCUGCUACAUUCAGAUCCGUGUGCACUUUCCAUACAUUUACGUCCUCCUCUUCGACGUAGUCGCGGAUGAGGUUGAAGCGUCGUUUGAUGUGUCUGGACUUCUUGUGAAACCGUGGUUCCUUUGCUAAGGCAAUGGCACCCGUGUUGUCACAGAACAAGGUUAUUGGAUUCAGUGCGCUUGGCACCACUCCAAGAUCCGUCAUGAACUGCUUCAUCCAGACACCCUCCAUAGCCGCCUCCGAGGCAGCCAUGUACUCCGCUUCACAUGUAGAAUCUGCUACAACGCUUUGCUUGGAACUGCACCAGCAUACCGCACCCCCAUUAAGAAUAAAUACGUAUCCGGUUUGUGACUUAGAGUCGUCCGGAUCUGUGUCAAAGCUUGCAUCGACGUAACCUUUUACGGCGAGCUCUUCGUCACCUCCAUAUACGAGAAACAUCUCCUUAGUCCUUUUCAGGUACUUCAGGAUAUUCUUGACCGCCGUCCAGUGAUCCACUCCUGGAUUACUCUGGAACCUACCUGCCAUACUUAUGGCCAGGCUAACAUCCGGUCUAGUGCACAACAUUGCAUACAUGAUAGAACCUAUGGCUGAAGCAUAGGGGACAGAGCGCAUAUGCUCUCUAUCUUCAUCAGUUGCUGGGCACUGAGUCUUACUCAAUCUCGUACCUUGUAAAACUGGCAAGAACCCCUUCUUGGACUGUUCCAUUUUGAACCUCUUCAAAACUUUAUCAAGGUAUGUGCUUUGUGAAAGUCCUAUCAGGCAUUUUGAUCUAUCCCUAUAGAUCUUAAUGCCUAGAAUGUAAGCAACUUCUCCUAGGUCCUUCAUAGAGAAACUUAUAUUCAAGUAAUCAUUUAUGCUCUCCAAAAACUCUACGUUGUUUCCAAUCAGCAAUAUGUCAUCCACAUAUAAUAUUAGAAACGCCACAGAGCUCCCACUCACUUUCUUGUAAAUACAAGAUUCUCCAACCACUUGUAUAAACCCAAAUGCUUUGAUCACCUCAUCAAAGCAUUUGUUCCAACUCCGAGAUGCUUGCACCAGUCCAUAAAUGGAUCGCUGGAGCUUGCACACCUUGUUAGCAUUCUUAGGAUCGACAAAACCUUCGGGUUGCAUCAUAUACAAUUCUUCCUUAAGGAAACCGUUAAGGAACGCCGUUUUGACAUCCAUCUGCCAGAUUUCAUAAUCGAAAAAUGCAGCUAUUGCUAACAUGAUUCUGACGGACUUAAGCAUCGCUACGGGUGAGAAUGUCUCAUCGUAGUCAACUCCUUGAACUUGUGAAAAACCCUUUGCCACAAGUCGAGCUUUAUAAACGGUCACAUUGCCGUCAGCGUCCGUCUUCCUCUUAAAGAUCCAUUUGUUCUGAAUAGCCUUGCGGCCCUCAGGCAGUACCUCCAAAGUCCACACUUUGUUCUCAUACAUGGAUCCUAUCUCGGACUUCAUGGCUUCUAGCCAUUUGUUGGAAUCCGGACCCACCAUUGCUUCUUCAUAAUUUGCAGGUUCAUUGUUGUCCAACAACAUGAUUGAUAAGACGGGAUUACCGUACCACUCUGGAGCAGCACGUGGUCUCGUCGACCUGCGUGGUUCGACAGAAACUUGAACCGGAGUUUCAUGAUCACCAUCAUUAACUUCCUCCUCAGCCGGCAUCGCAACGACAGAGGUUUCCCCUUGCCCUGCACCACCAUCUAGAGGGAUGAGAGGUUCGACAACCUCGUCAAGUUCUAUCUUCCUCCCACUCAAUUCUCUCGAGAGAAACUCCUUCUCGAGAAAAGCUCCAUUUUUAGCAACAAACACUUUGCCCUCGGAUUUGAGAUAGAAGGUGUACCCAACUGUCUCUUUUGGGUAACCUAUGAAGAUGCACUUUUCCGCUUUGGGUUCCAGCUUUUCAGGCUGAAGCUUUUUGACAUAAGCAUCACAUCCCCAAACUUUAAGAAACGACAACUUUGGCCUUUUGCCAUACCACAGUUCGUAUGGUGUCGUCUCAACGGAUUUUGAUGGUGCCCUAUUUAAAGUGAAUGCAGCUGUUUCUAAUGCAUAACCCCAAAACGAUAACGGCAAAUCGGUAAGAGACAUCAUAGAUCGCACCAUCUCUAAUAAAGUACGAUUACGACGUUCCGACACACCAUUACGCUGUGGUGUUCCAGGCGGUGUUAACUGUGAAACAAUUCCACAUUGUCUUAAGUGAGCACCAAACUCGAAACUCGGAUAUUCACCCCCACGAUCAGACCGUAGAAACUUGAUCUUCUUGUUACGAUGAUUUUCAACUUCACUCUGAAAUUGCUUGAACUUUUCAAAUGUUUCAGACUUGUGCUUCAUUAAGUAGACAUAACCAUAUCUACUCAAAUCGUCGGUGAAGGUGAGAAAAUAACGAUAUCCGCCGCGUGCCUCUACGCUCAUCGGACCACACACAUCGGUAUGUAUGAUUUCCAACAAGUCACUUGCACGCUCCAUUGUUCCGGAGAACGGAGUUUUAGUCAUCUUGCCCAUGAGGCAUGGUUCGCACGUGUCAAGUGAAUCAAAGUCAAGUGACUCCAAAAGUCCAUCGACAUGGAGUUUCUUCAUCGCUUUACACCAAUAUGACCUAAGCGGCAGUGCCACAAAAAUAUGGCACUAUCAUUGUUAACUCUAACUCUUUUGGUCUCAAUGUUAUGUAUGUGUGUAUCGCUAUCAAGAUUCAAUAUGAACAAUCCUCUCACAUUGGGUGCAUGACCAUAAAAGAUGUUACUCAUAGAAAUAGAACAACCAUUAUUCUCUGACUUAAAAGAGUAACCGUCUCGCAAUAAACAAGAUCCAGAUAUAAUGUUCAUGCUCAACGCAGGCACUAAAUAACAAUGAUUCAAGUUCAUAACUAAUCCUGAUGGUAACUGAAGUGAAACUGUGCCGACGGCGAUUGCAUCAACCUUGGAACCAUUUCCUACGCGCAUCGUCACUUCAUCUUUCGCCAGCCUUCGUCUAUUCCGCAGUUCCUGUUUCGAGUUGCAAAUAUGAGCAACAGAACCGGUAUCGAAUACCCAGGCACUACUACGAGAGCCGGUUAAGUACACAUCAAUAACAUGUAUAUCAAAUAUACCUGAUUUUUCUUUGGCCGCCUUCUUAUCUGCCAGAUACUUGGGGCAAUUGCGCUUCCACUGACCCAUACCCUUGCAAUAGUAACACUCUAUUUCAGGCUUAGGUCCAGCUUUGGGUUUCUUCGUCGGAUUGGCAACAGGCUUGCCGCUAUUUUUUGAAUUACCCUUCUUGCCUUUGCCGUUUCUCUUGAAACUAGUGGUCUUAUUCACCAUCAACACUUGAUGCUCUUUACGGAGUUCGGACUCUGCGACUUUCAGCAUCGCAAACAACUCGCCGGGUGACUUGUUCAUCCCUUGCAUGUUGUAGUUCAACACAAAGCCUUUAUAGCUUGGCGGCAAUGAUUGAAGGAUUCUGUCAGUGAUAGCCUCUUGCGGGAGUUCAAUCCCCAGCUCAGCUAGACGGUUUGAGUACCCAGACAUUUUGAGCACAUGUUCACUCACAGACGAGUUCUCCUCCAUCUUGCAAGCAUAGAAUUUAUCGGAGGUCUCAUACCUCUCGAUCCGGGCGUUCUUCUGAAAGAUAAACUUCAACUCCUGGAACAUCUCAAAUGCUCCAUGACGCUCAAAGCGACGUUGAAGUCCCGGUUCUAAGCCAUACAAGACUGCACAUUGAACUACUGAGUAGUCCUCCUUACGUGCUAACCAAGCGUUCUUAACAUCCUGAUCAGCCGUAGCGGGUGGUUCAUCUCCUAGCGCAGCAUUAAGGACAUAAUCCUUCUUCCCAGCUUGUAAGAUUAGCUUAAGAUUACGAGCCCAGUCUACAAAGUUGCUUCCAUCAUCUUUCAACUUAGCUUUCUCUAGGAACGUAUUAAAAUUCAGGGUGACUGUCGCGUGAGCCAUGAUCUACAACACAAAUAUAUUCAAAGUGGACUUUAGACUAUGUUCAAGAUAAUUAGAGUUUAACUUAAUCAAAUUAUUCGCUAAACUCCCACUCGAAAAUUACAUCUCUCUAGUCACUUGAGUGGUUCAUGAUCCACUUACACUAGCUCAAGUCCGAUCAUCACGUGAGUUGAGUAUAGUUUCAGUGGUAAGCAUCCCUAUGCUAAUCAUAUCAUCUAUAUGAUUCAUGAUCGACCUUUCGGUCUCAUGUGUUCCGAGGCCAUGUCUGCACAUGCUAGGCUCGUCAAGCUUAACCCGAGUGUUCCGCGUGCGCAACUGUUUUGCACCCGUUGUAUGUGAACGUUGAGUCUAUCACACCCGAUCAUCACGNNNNNNNNNNNNNNNNNNNNNNNNNNNNNNNNNNNNNNNNNNNNNNNNNNNNNNNNNNNNNNNNNNNNNNNNNNNNNNNNNNNNNNNNNNNNNNNNNNNNNNNNNNNNNNNNNNNNNNNNNNNNNNNNNNNNNNNNNNNNNNNNNNNNNNNNNNNNNNNNNNNNNNNNNNNNNNNNNNNNNNNNNNNNNNNNNNNNNNNNNNNNNNNNNNNNNNNNNNNNNNNNNNNNNNNNNNNNNNNNNNNNNNNNNNNNNNNNNNNNNNNNNNNNNNNNNNNNNNNNNNNNNNNNNNNNNNNNNNNNNNNNNNNNNNNNNNNNNNNNNNNNNNNNNNNNNNNNNNNNNNNNNNNGUGACAUGAUAUGGCCAUCAUCACGUGCUCCUUGAUCUCCAUCAUCAAAGCACCGGCACAAUCUUCUUGUCACCGGCGCCACACCAUGAUCUCCAUCAACGUGUCGCCAUCGGGGUUGUCGUGCUACUCAUGCUAUUACUACUAAAGCUACAUCCUAGCAAAAUAGUAAACGCAUCUGCAAGCACAAACGUUAGUAUAAAGACAACCCUAUGGCCCCUGCCGGUUGCCGUACCAUCGACGUGCAAGUCGAUAUUAUCUAUUACAACAUGAUCAUCUCAUACAUCCAAUAUAUCACAUCACAUCGUUGGCCAUAUCACAUCACAAGCAUACCCUGCAAAAACAAGUUAGACGUCCUCUAAUUUUGUUGUUGCAUGUUUUACGUGGUGACCAUGGGUAUCUAGUAGGAUCGCAUCUUACUUACACAAACACCACAACGGAGAUAUAUGAGUUGCUAUUUAACCUCAUCCAAGGACCUCCUCUGUCAAAUCCGAUUCAACUAAAGUUGGAGAAACCGACACUUGCCAGUCAUCUUUGAGCAACGGGGUUACUCGUAGCGAUGAAACCAGUCUCUCGUAAGCGUACGAGUAAUGUCGGUCCAAGCCGCUUCAAUCCAACAAUACCGCGGAAUCAAGAAAAGACUAAGGAGGGCAGCAAAACACACAUCACCGCCCACAAAAAACUUUUGUGUUCUACUCGAGAAGACAUCUACGCAUGAACCUAGCUCAUGAUGCCACUGUUGGGGAACGUCGAAUGGGAAACAAAAAAAAUUCCUACGCGCACGAAGACCUAUCAUGGUGAUGUCCAUCUACGAGAGGGGAUGAGUGAUCUACGUACCCUUGUAGACCGUACAGCAGAAGCGUUAGUGAACGCGGUUGAUGUAGUGGAACGUCCUCACGUCCCUCGAUCCGCCCCGCGAACUAUCCCGCGAUCAGUCCCACGAUCUAGUGCCGAACAGACGGCACCUCCGCGUUCAGCACACGUACAGCUCGACGAUGAUCUCGGCCUUCCUGAUCCAGCAAGAGAGANNNNNNNNNNNNNNNNNNNNNNNNNNNNNNNNNNNNNNNNNNNNNNNNNNNNNNNNNNNNNNNNNNNNNNNNNNNNNNNNNNNNNNNNNNNNNNNNNNNNNNNNNNNNNNNNNNNNNNNNNNNNNNNNNNNNNNNNNNNNNNNNNNNNNNNNNNNNNNNNNNNNNNNNNNNNNNNNNNNNNNNNGCUCCGGAGGUUGGUGAUGAUCUUGUCUCAGCAGGGCUCCGCCCGAGCUCCGCAGAAACGCGAUCUAGAGGAAAAACUAUGGAGGUAUGUGGUCGGGCAGCCGUGAGAAAGUCGUCUCAAAUCUGCCCUAAAAGCCCCAUAUAUAUAGGAGGAGGGAGGGGGACCUUGCCUUGGAGUCCAAGGGACUCCAAGGGGGUCGGCCGAGCCAGGGGGGAGGACUCUCCCCCCCCAAACCGAGUCCUACUUGGUUUGGUGGGAGGGAGUCCUUCCCCCUUCCCACUUCCUCUUUUUUUUUCUUUCUUCCUUUGAUUUUUAUUCCUUGGCGCAUAGGAUUUAGUGGGCUGUCCCACCAGCCCACUAAGGGCUGGUGUGACCCCCACAAAUACCUAUGGGCUUCCCCGGAGUGGGUUGCCCCCCUCCGGUGAACCCCCGGAACCCAUUCGUNNNNNNNNNNNNNNNNNNNNNNNNNNNNNNNNNNNNNNNNNNNNNNNNNNNNNNNNNNNNNNNNNNNNNNNNNNNNNNNNNNNNNNNNNNNNNNNNNNNNUAUAUAUAUAUAUAUAUAAUCCAACCAUCUAGGAGUAGUUACCGCACAUGUCAAAUAUACUAGUAUUAUGUGGUGCUAUAUAUACUAUUUUAUAAUUGUAAUUAUGUUGAUAUACUAUAUAUAAAGUACUUUAAAGUAAGUUAUAUGAAAAAAUUGCAAGUUCGUCCAUAAUUUUAUUAUAUUUAUGAAAUACGUAUAUAUUUAUACGUAAAAAGGAGCAUACUCAAAAUACAAACCAUACUAUCAAAAAAAUAUUUAUAUAUGUGUGUGUGUGUACGAGCAGUAUGUAGUAUAUAUUAAUGUUUAGGUAACUUAUACUAAGCUUUUGGUAAUAUGUAUUGUAUUUUGAGUAUGUUCAUUUUUAUGUAAAAAUAUAUGCUUGUUCCAUAAAUAUAAUAGAAACAACGGGCAAUUUGCAUUUUUUUGCGAAACUCACUUUAAAUUAUGUACAUACCUAUUAUGAUAAAGUAGUGUAUAUGUGUGUGUGUGUGUGUAUAUAUAUAUAUAUAUANNNNNNNNNNNNNNNNNNNNNNNNNNNNNNNNNNNNNNNNNNNNNNNNNNNNNNNNNNNNNNNNNNNNNNNNNNNNNNNNNNNNNNNNNNNNNNNNNNNNNNNNNNNNNNNNNNNNNNNNNNNNNNNNNNNNNNNNNNNNNNNNNNNNNNNNNNNNNNNNNNNNNNNNNNNNNNNNNNNNNNNNNNNNNNNNNNNNNNNNNNNNNNNNNNNNNNNNNNNNNNNNNNNNNNNNNNNNNNNNNNNNNNNNNNNNNNNNNNNNNNNNNNNNNNNNNNNNNNNNNNNNNNNNNNNNNNNNNNNNNNNNNNNNNNNNNNNNNNNNNNNNNNNNNNNNNNNNNNNNNNNNNNNNNNNNNNNNNNNNNNNNNNNNNNNNNNNNNNNAUAUAUAUAUAUAUAUAUUACCACAUGCUAGUAUAUGAAACAUGUGGGUAAGAGCAUCUCUAGCAGACCCCGUAUAAAGCCCCGAUUCGCAAAAUAACCGUCAAAAUAUGAGUCGGGACGGAAAAUGUUGUCAGACCAGACCAGACCCAGGCAAGGCAACGUUGUCGUGCACAGCAACAUUCCGGCUGGCCCCGCCGGAAGGGAAGUCGCACCGGGCGCCGCGUUGCUGCGCGAUCUGCCCGGCCGCCGACAGGGAAGAUGAGCAAGGUUUCAGGCGUGAAGCGGAAGAAGGUUUCCUAUGAAAAAACCUUCGUCCACUCCCAUCGCCCCGGCGAGAUGUUCCCCGACGAUGCCUUUGUACGACGCCGCUUUCACCGCAGGCGAGGUGUUCGAUGAAAGGGGCGGAAGGUGUGCAUCUUCGCUCACUUAUUUUUGCUUUUGAUUUUUCACCAUUGUGGUAGGGGGUGACGUGAUGUCACUCAAUGUAGCGGUGGUUCGAACGAUGCCGCUACCGAGUUCGUGAACUUGUUGGCCAUCAACGCCGUCGACAUCGAUCAAGCCCCGAUCGCUGGUUUCAAUUACAAUGAAUUGGGGGUGGCGUAGAUGACCACGUUGGUGAAGAUGAGGCGGAGUAGGUAGAUGAGGGGAUGUAUCAGCAAUCGCAAGCAAAAACACGCGUGAGAUCGAAGAACUACAUGAUAUUGGAAGAUCAAAUCUUGAUCAAGGCUUGGAGUACGUUGUCCAUGGAUCUUUGCACGGGUGUGUCCCAAAACGGAAGACGUAUUGGCAAAGAAUUGAAGAUCAAUACUUUCAAUUCAUGGCCAAGUAUCCCAAUAGGACAGCACGGACCUUUCGGUCACUCCAAGGUCGUUGGGACGUGAUCAAACCGACUUGUAGCCGUUGUGCAGCUUGUUUGGAACAAGUUCGCAAUGCUCCUCUAAGUGGAACCGUGAAUUCGACUAUGUGAGUUCGUUUUCACGUCCCAAGUUAUGCACACCGUUUGCAUCGCGUGAAAUGGUUCCAUCAUUUUGACUUUGUUUUAAUUGUGUAGGAAAAAAUUGACCAACAACGGUAUAAAGACAUGGAAGCUUUCGAAGGCAAAGUUUUAAACUAGAGCAUUGUUGGGAAUUGCUCAAAAACUGCGACAACUGGAAGUUGAUUGUCACAAAAUCUUCACCAAAGAGAGGUUCAUUUACGAACAUGGAUGAAGAUGAAGAUGAUGAUGGCCCAACAAACUUAAACAAGCCCGUUGGUGACAAAAAAACAAAGGAGAAGAUCAAAAGGGAACACGAAGCAUGGACCUUGCGGGACAAGAUAUAUGCCAUGGUGCAAUCAAAUGAGGUGUUGCUGGCAAAGAUAUAGUUGGUCGAGAAGAAGACGUUUUCGUCAACGACGAGACACAUACAUUGAUUUUAUAAAUCUCGAAAUGAUAUAUCGGUUUUAAACAUGUCCACAAAAAUAUGGUGUGUGUUUAUAACGAUGAGCGUACGCGCAUCUUCUAUUCUUAAAUAGUUGCAACCCACUACCUAUUUUUCCUUCUCAUAUAACCAUGCCACAUCAUCAUGUCAUGCACUUUGUCAUAAGUACUUAUUUUUCUCAUGUAACCAUGCCACAUCAUCAAAUCAUGCAUGUGGUCAUAAAUUAUAAUGUGUGCACUAAUCUACACAUUGUUUCACUAAUUAUAAUAUGGGCAUAAGCGGUAUAUACUUUAGAGCAAAUAUAUGUAGAUCAUGUUACACUUUUGUACGCAUCUUUUGUCAAAUGCUUCAUAUGAGUAUUGUUUUUAAAAUUUAAAAUGAAAGCAAUUAUAAUAUCUUUUGGCAAUAUUUUUUGUUUUUCAACACCUAUUUAUACAUCUGUUUAUCAUGUUUCCUACAGCAACGUGCGGGGCAUCAUCUAGUUUAUACAAAUGUUUAAGCUUACACUGUGCUAAAAAACAAGUUUCGUCGCGUGCACACAGCUCACAGGGCCACAUCCGUUAAAAAAAAAAAAACUCACAGGGCCACACCGACCGCUGUCGGCAGAAACGCAUCCGAAAUUUCGCGGCGGCGAACGCCCCGCGAAAAGAUCGAUCCGAAAUCCACGCGGUUCCACCCGCCAUCCACACUCACGAGACUCGCGCCCUCCCCCCGUCCCAGCAGCCCGCCUCGCCCUCACAGGAAAAGCACACCUCCCCGCCAGGUCACCGAUCCGCGCCACCCUCCUCCACAACUCCCCGCCGUCCACCCCCCAUCCGACGGCCCGCGACCCGCAUCACGCGGAUCCUGCCCGCUCCCAUCGCCCCAAACCCCGCGGCUAUAAAAUCCCACCUCGCCCCGCGCUCCACCACCAUCAAUCUCAUCACCCACCACCGCCGAUCCAAUCCACUCCACCGAGCGAGAAGGAGAGGAAGAUGUCGGGCCGCGGCAAGGGAGGCAAGGGGCUGGGCAAGGGCGGCGCCAAGCGCCACCGGAAGGUGCUCCGCGACAACAUCCAGGGCAUCACCAAGCCGGCGAUCCGGCGCCUGGCGCGUCGCGGCGGCGUGAAGCGCAUCUCGGGGCUCAUCUACGAGGAGACCCGCGGCGUGCUCAAGAUCUUCCUCGAGAACGUCAUCCGCGACGCCGUCACCUACACCGAGCACGCCCGCCGCAAGACCGUCACCGCCAUGGACGUCGUCUACGCCCUCAAGCGCCAGGGACGCACCCUCUACGGCUUCGGAGGCUAGGCCUUCCCUGC
rnacentral:lncRNA from 1 species